GAUGAAGAACGUAGCGAAAUGCGAUACGUAAUGUGAAUUGCAGAAUUCAGUGAAUCAUCGAAUCUUUGAACGCAUAUUGCGCUCUCUGGUAUUCCGGAGAGCAUGCUUGUUUGAGUAUCAGUAAACACCUCAACUUCCAUAUCUUUUUUGAAAUGGGAGUUGGACUUGAGUGAUCCCAACGCUUUUCCUCACCGAAAAGUGGCGGGUUACUUGAAAUGCAGGUGCAGCUGGACUUUUCUCUGAGCUAUAAGCAUAUCUAUUUAGUCUGCCUAAAAAACAGAUUAUUACCUUUGCUGCAGCUAACAUAAAGGAGAUUAGUUCUUGUGCUGACUGAUGCAGGAGUCACAAAGACAGGCUUCGGCCGACUUUGUAAACUCGAUCUCAAAUCAAGUAAGACUACCCGCUGAACUUAAGCAUAUCAAUAAGCGGAGGA
rnacentral:misc_RNA from 1 species